rnacentral:tRNA from 1 species
GGAGGUCUAGCUCAGUGGUAGAGCACUUGCCUAGAAUGCAUGAUGCUGAUGCUCUGGGUUCGAUCUCUA